rnacentral:rRNA from 1 species
AUUGAACGCUGGCGGCAGGCCUAACACAUGCAAGCCGAACGGUAACAGGAAGAAGCUUGCUUCUUUGCUGACGAGUGGCGGACGGGUGAGUAAUGUCUGGGAAACUGCCUGAUGGAGGGGGAUAACUACUGGAAACGGUAGCUAAUACCGCAUAACGUCGCAAGACCAAGGAGGGGGACCUUCGGGCCUCUUGCCAUCGGAUGUGCCCAGAUGGGAUUAGCUAGUAGGUGGGGUAACGGCUCACCUAGGCGACGAUCCCUAGCUGGUCUGAGAGGAUGACCAGCCACACUGGAACUGAGACACGGUCCAGACUCCUACGGGAGGCAGCAGUGGGGAAUAUUGCACAAUGGGCGCAAGCCUGAUGCAGCCAUGCCGCGUGUAUGAAGAAGGCCUUCGGGUUGUAAAGUACUUUCAGCGGGGAGGAAGGGAGUAAAGUUAAUACCUUUGCUCAUUGACGUUACCCGCAGAAGAGGCACCGGCUAACUCCGUGCCAGCAGCCGCGGUAAUACGGAGGGUGCAAGCGUUAAUCGGAAUUACUGGGCGUAAAGCGCACGCAGGCGGUUUGUUAAGUCAGAUGUGAAAUCCCCGGGCUCAACCUGGGAACUGCAUCUGAUACUGGCAAGCUUGAGUCUCGUAGAGGGGGGUAGAAUUCCAGGUGUAGCGGUGAAAUGCGUAGAGAUCUGGAGGAAUACCGGUGGCGAAGGCGGCCCCCUGGACGAAGACUGACGCUCAGGUGCGAAAGCGUGGGGAGCAAACAGG